rnacentral:rRNA from 1 species
UGGCUCAGAUUGAACGCUGGCGGAAUGCUUUACACAUGCAAGUCGAACGGUAGAGGGGGCAACCCUUGAGAGUGGCGAACGGUGAGUAAUAUAUCGGAACGUGCCCAGUCGUGGGGGAUAACGUAGCGAAAGUUACGCUAAUACCGCAUACGAUCUAAGGAUGAAAGCGGGGGAUCGCAAGACCUCGCGCGAUUGGAGCGGCCGAUAUCAGAUUAGGUAGUUGGUGAGGUAAAGGCUCACCAAGCCAACGAUCUGUAGCUGGUCUGAGAGGACGACCAGCCACACUGGAACUGAGACACGGUCCAGACUCCUACGGGAGGCAGCAGUGGGGAAUUUUGGACAAUGGACGCAAGUCUGAUCCAGCCAUUCCGCGUGCAGGAUGAAGGCCCUCGGGUUGUAAACUGCUUUGUACGGAACGAAAAGGUUUCUAUUAAUACUAGGAGCUCAUGACGGUACCGUAAGAAUAAGCACCGGCUAACUACGUG